UACGUAGGGUGCGAGCGUUAAUCGGAAUUACUGGGCGUAAAGCGUGCGCAGGCGGUCUGUUAAGACCGAUGUGAAAUCCCCGGGCUCAACCUGGGAACUGCCUUUGUGACUGCAAGGCUUGAGUGCGGCAGAGGGGGAUGGAAUUCCGCGUGUAGCAGUGAAAUGCGUAGAUAUGCGGAGGAACACCGAUGGCGAAGGCAAUCCCCUGGGCCUGCACUGACGCUCAUGCACGAAAGCGUGGGGAGCAAACAGG
rnacentral:rRNA from 1 species